rnacentral:rRNA from 1 species
UUAACCUCAAAUCAGGUAGGACUAGCCGCU